rnacentral:rRNA from 1 species
GAUGAACGCUGGCGGCGUGCCUAAUACAUGCAAGUCGAGCGAACGGACGAGAAGCUUGCUUUUCUGAUGUUAGCGGCGGACGGGUGAGUAACACGUGGAUAACCUACCUAUAAGACUGGGAUAACUUCGGGAAACCGGAGCUAAUACCGGAUAAUAUUUUGAACCGCAUGGUUCAAAAGUGAAAGACGGUCUUGCUGUCACUUAUAGAUGGAUCCGCGCUGCAUUAGCUAGUUGGUAAGGUAACGGCUUACCAAGGCAACGAUGCAUAGCCGACCUGAGAGGGUGAUCGGCCACACUGGAACUGAGACACGGUCCAGACUCCUACGGGAGGCAGCAGUAGGGAAUCUUCCGCAAUGGGCGAAAGCCUGACGGAGCAACGCCGCGUGAGUGAUGAAGGUCUUCGGAUCGUAAAACUCUGUUAUUAGGGAAGAACAUAUGUGUAAGUAACUGUGCACAUCUUGACGGUACCUAAUCAGAAAGCCACGGCUAACUACGUGCCAGCAGCCGCGGUAAUACGUAGGUGGCAAGCGUUAUCCGGAAUUAUUGGGCGUAAAGCGCGCGUAGGCGGUUUUUUAAGUCUGAUGUGAAAGCCCACGGCUCAACCGUGGAGGGUCAUUGGAAACUGGAAAACUUGAGUGCAGAAGAGGAAAGUGGAAUUCCAUGUGUAGCGGUGAAAUGCGCAGAGAUGUGGAGGAACACCAGUGGCGAAGGCGACUUUCUGGUCUGUAACUGACGCUGAUGUGCGAAAGCGUGGGGAUCAAACAGGAUUAGAUACCCUGGUAGUCCACGCCGUAAACGAUGAGUGCUAAGUGUUAGGGGGUUUCCGCCCCUUAGUGCUGCAGCUAACGCAUUAAGCACUCCGCCUGGGGAGUACGACCGCAAGGUUGAAACUCAAAGGAAUUGACGGGGGCCCGCACAAGCGGUGGAGCAUGUGGUUUAAUUCGAAGCAACGCGAAGAACCUUACCAAAUCUUGACAUCCUUUGACAACUCUAGAGAUAGAGCCUUCCCCUUCGGGGGACAAAGUGACAGGUGGUGCAUGGUUGUCGUCAGCUCGUGUCGUGAGAUGUUGGGUUAAGUCCCGCAACGAGCGCAACCCUUAAGCUUAGUUGCCAUCAUUAAGUUGGGCACUCUAAGUUGACUGCCGGUGACAAACCGGAGGAAGGUGGGGAUGACGUCAAAUCAUCAUGCCCCUUAUGAUUUGGGCUACACACGUGCUACAAUGGACAAUACAAAGGGCAGCGAAACCGCGAGGUCAAGCAAAUCCCAUAAAGUUGUUCUCAGUUCGGAUUGUAGUCUGCAACUCGACUACAUGAAGCUGGAAUCGCUAGUAACCGUAGAUCAGCAUGCUACGGUGAAUACGUUCCCGGGUCU